UGGAAAUCCCCGAGUGGGUCUGCCAGGCCACUGAUUAAGGGGAAGUGUGUGUGGUUAUUACCGCUGGAGUUCCCCUAAAUCUUAAGAGGAAAGCACCAGCGAACAAGCAAACCGCUGGGACGAGUGCGGGACAAAUGGAGCGGGGUGGGGGUGGGGAAGGGGAGGAGCGGGGGUGGGGGAAGACGUUUAAAAGGCAGCGUGAGACUCCAGCCCGCACCGAACAGCGGGCCGACGGCUGUCACCCGCCAAGCCUCGGCCGGCACAACCCGACUGCCGCGCACCUGCCGGGGUCAGCAGGCCGGGCGGUAGAGCUGAGGUUUAAUUCUCACAGGCCUAAGAAGCACUUGCCCAGGAUCACACCCCUGGUAUGCAGAGACUGAAUGAUAUUGGAAACUCAGGAUGUCUGACUCCAAAGCCUGGUAUUAAACCAUCACUGAGCAGACUUCGUAGUCAUUAAUGUAAAAUUGAUAUCCUUAAUACCAUGCAAAUGAGGGUGCUGCGGUCCUGGGGGGCUCAGUCAAGUUAGCGAAAUUCACUUCUCAGCAAAAAGUCUUAAGUGUCUACAUUAUAUGCCAGGCUGAAUGGAUGGUGGGAGUGGGAGGGCUGGUACAGAGCUGAAACAGUUAUGCUGUGAAGGAGCUCACAGACUAGGGGGAGGCAGAGAGAAAAGGCACACUUAAACUCCAGUGUCUGAAACAUGGAUGUGCUAAGUGCCCAAGAGGAUAGACACACCCAACAUCGCUGGCAUCAGGGAGGUUGCCCACUGGAAAUGAUGGAGUAGGAAGAGAUGAGGUUGGGGACUUGAGCCAACCUGAGAAGGAGCCACAAGAAAGGAAAGAGGAAUCCCAAGAGAGUGGUUUCAGAAGCCAAGGGACUAGAACAUUUCAUAGAGGAAGUGGACCCCAGUGUUAGGUGUGAAAAAUUCCACUGGUUUUGGGAAAGAAAAGAUUGGUGUUACUCAUACUGAGAGUGGUUUUCCACAGACACAGAAAACAAACGUGGUUACCAAAGGGAAAGGCGGGGGAUGGAUAAAUUAGGAGGAUGGGAUUGACAUAUACACACUACUAUAUAUAAAAUAGAUAACCAACAAGGA
rnacentral:lncRNA from 1 species